GCCCGCGUAGCAAAAUUGGAAUUGCGUCUGCCUCCUAAGCAGAAGGUUGUGGGUUCGAGCCCCAUCGCGGGUA